rnacentral:rRNA from 1 species
GACGAACGCUGGCGGCGUGCCUAAUACAUGCAAGUAGAACGCUGAAGGAGGAGCUUGCUCUUCUGGAUGAGUUGCGAACGGGUGAGUAACGCGUAGGUAACCUGCCUGGUAGCGGGGGAUAACUAUUGGAAACGAUAGCUAAUACCGCAUAACAGUAGAUGUUGCAUGACAUUUACUUAAAAGGUGCAAUUGCAUCACUACCAGAUGGACCUGCGUUGUAUUAGCUAGUUGGUGGGGUAACGGCUCACCAAGGCGACGAUACAUAGCCGACCUGAGAGGGUGAUCGGCCACACUGGGACUGAGACACGGCCCAGACUCCUACGGGAGGCAGCAGUAGGGAAUCUUCGGCAAUGGACGGAAGUCUGACCGAGCAACGCCGCGUGAGUGAAGAAGGGUUUCGGACCGUAAAGCUCUGUUGUAAGAGAAGAACGAGUGUGAGAGUGGAAAGUUCACACUGUGACGGUAUCUUACCAGAAAGGGACGGCUAACUACGUG